rnacentral:tRNA from 1 species
GGAGAGGUGGCUGAGUGGCUGAAAGCGACGGUUUGCUAAAUCGUUGUAGGGGUUAAGACCUCUACCGCGGGUUCGAAUCCCGCCCUCUCCG